GUAGAGUAUUGCGCAGUCGGUUACAGCCGACCUUUUUUUUUGUUGCUUUCCAAAGGUAUUUCAAUACACACACACACGCACACACACUUAUUACGACUAUAGUUAAAAAAAAACUCCUGUGAGCAGAGUAUUGCGUAGUCGGUUACAGCCGACCUUCUUUUUUUGUUGCUUUCCAAAGGUAUUUCAAUACACACACACACGCACACACACGCACACACACACACACUUAAUACGACUAUAGUUAAAAAAAAAAACUCCUGUGAGCAGAGUAUUGCGUAGUCGGUUACAGCCGACCUUCUUUUUUUGUUGCUUUCCAAAGGUAUUUCAAUACACACACACACACACACACGCACACACGCACACACACACACACUUAUUACGACUAUAGUUAAAAAAAAAACUCCUGUGAGCAGAGUAUUGCGUAGUCGGUUACAGCCGACCUAUAGUUAAAAAAAAACCCAAUUAGAUGUAUGUUAAAAAAAAAACAAAAACAAAUAAUUAGCUUUACCAACCGCACAAUAUACUUAUUAAUUCUACACUUGCAAUAACUUAAAACAUAUUUAAAUGUCAGAAAAAGAAAACAAAAAAAAAUUAUAAAUGUAUUUCACAAGCAAACGUAAUGGCUGCCAUGCAUAAAGGAAUCGUCUGCGAGCGCACUGCAAUAUCCUUUUCUUCGACAAGCAGACGAACAAAUACAAGUUAAAUAAAGUAAAUAACAUAAAUACUAUACCAAAUUCUGAUUUAUUUCUACCUUCCACUUACCGGGCGCGCCUUUACUGAGGCAUAGAGAAAGUUCUCGUAUAACUUUUUUGCGGAGCCAAAAAUUUUGCGAACCGAACGCGUCGAAAGAUAGAACAAUAAAGAAAGAAAGGAAGAAAGAAAAGAAACGAGUUGACAAAACUUAACCUAGUUGAGCGCAGGAACGUUGAAAAUAGAACGAAAAAAAAAACUGACGCAGCGAAUUUAAUAAUUUACAAUUACAAAUACAUACAUGCAGGGUAGAAGCUCUUCAAAUAUAACACACACACACACACAAAGAUAUGUAUAUUUUCAGGCGGCGAAAGAACCGCUGCCUGCGAAUUCGCCGCAUUUUGAAUGGCUUGUCGAGACUGAAACCUUAAGAAAGCAAGUUCGGUCUUAGCUUGAAAUAAAUGCUCUUCAAAUAUAACACACACACACACACAUACAAAAUGUAUAUACACACAAACAAAGCGACAAAUGCGUUGCCUGCAAAUUCGCCGCAUUUUGAAUGGCUUGUCAAGACUGAAACGAAAACGACGCAAGUUCAACGUGAAACAAUUCUGAAAUUUCAGAGCAUCAAUCAAAACCAAAACUGCAUAUAAUAUAAAAAAAACCAAAAACAGAGCUGUGAAACUCAAUCAAAUCAAAUUCAAUUAAUUUAAAUCAAGUCAGAAGCUUCAAAAUGAAGAUAAAGAAAUUUAAUGUCGAUUCCGAAUUUAAAAUUAGCUAAAUUCCAAAUUAUAAAAACAACAUAAUAACCAAAAAAAUAAAAAACACAACAGACUAUUUAAAAAAAAAAACCACAUGUUGCUGAAUAUCGAAGGAGUCCCCUGGCGGGACUUCCAUUUUC